rnacentral:rRNA from 1 species
AUUGAACGCUGGCGGCAGGCCUAACACAUGCAAGUCGAGCGAGCGGCGGACGGGUGAGUAAUGUCUGGGAAACUGCCUGAUGGAGGGGGAUAACUACUGGAAACGGUAGCUAAUACCGCAUACCAUCAGAUGUGCCCAGAUGGGAUUAGCUAGGAGGUGGGGUAAUGGCGCACCAAGGCGACGAUCCCGAGCUGGUCUGAGAGGAUGACAAGCCACACUGGCACUGAGACACGGUCCAGACUCCUACGGGAGGCAGCAGUGGGGAAUUUUGCACAAUGGGGGCAAGCCUGAUGCAGCCAUGCCGCGUGUAUGAAGAAGGCCUUCGGGUUGUAAAGCACUUUCGGCGGAGAGGCGUUACUCGCAGAAGAAGCACCGGCUAACUCCGUGCCAGCCGCCGCGGUAAUUC